GACGAACGCUGGCGGCGUGCCUAAUACAUGCAAGUAGAACGCACAGUUUAUACCGUAGCUUGCUACACCAUAGACUGUGAGUUACGAACGGGUGAGUAACGCGUAGGUAACCUGCCUGGUAGCGGGGGAUAACUAUUGGAAACGAUAGCUAAUACCGCAUAAUAUUAAUUAUUGCAUGAUAAUUAAUUGAAAGGUGCAAUUGCACCACUACCAGAUGGACCUGCGUUGUAUUAGCUAGUAGGUGAGGUAACGGCUCACCUAGGCGACGAUACAUAGCCGACCUGAGAGGGUGAUCGGCCACACUGGGACUGAGACACGGCCCAGACUCCUACGGGAGGCAGCAGUAGGGAAGCUUCGGCAAUGGACGAAAGUCUGACCGAGCAACGCCGCGUGAGUGAAGAAGGUUUUCGGAUCGGAAAGCUCUGUUGUAAGAGAAGAACGGGUGUGAGAGUGGAAAGUUCACACUGUGACGGUAUCUUACCAGAAAGGGACGGCUAACUACGUG
rnacentral:rRNA from 1 species